AGCGAACGUUAGCGGCACGCCUAACACAUGCAAGUCGCACGAGAAAGGGAGCAAUCCCCGGUACAGUGGCGCACGGGUGAGUAACACGUAGAUGACCUUCCCUGGAGUGGUGGAUAACCUGCCGAAAGGCGGGCUAAUACAGCAUGGGACCACAUGGUUUUGACCGAGUGGUGAAAGCGGGCCUCUGUUCACAAGCUCGCGCUCUGGGAUGGGUCUGCGUCCCAUCAGCUAGUUGGUGAGGUAAUGGCUCACCAAGGCAUCGACGGGUAGCUGGUCUGAGAGGAUGACCAGCCACACUGGAACUGAGACACGGUCCAGACUCCUACGGGAGGCAGCAGUGGGGAAUCUUGCGCAAUGGGCGAAAGCCUGACGCAGCGACGCCGCGUGGGUGAUGAAGGCCUC
rnacentral:rRNA from 1 species